rnacentral:rRNA from 1 species
UGGGGAAUUUUGGACAAUGGGCGAAAGCCUGAUCCAGCAAUGCCGCGUGUGUGAAGAAGGCCUUCGGGUUGUAAAGCACUUUUGUCCGGAAAGAAAUGGCUCUGGUUAAUACCUGGGGUCGAUGACGGUACCGGAAGAAUAAGGACCGGCUAACUACGUGCCAGCAGCCGCGGUAAUACGUAGGGUCCAAGCGUUAAUCGGAAUUACUGGGCGUAAAGCGUGCGCAGGCGGUUGUGCAAGACCGAUGUGAAAUCCCCGAGCUUAACUUGGGAAUUGCAUUGGUGACUGCACGGCUAGAGUGUGUCAGAGGGGGGUAGAAUUCCACGUGUAGCAGUGAAAUGCGUAGAGAUGUGGAGGAAUACCGAUGGCGAAGGCAGCCCCCUGGGAUAACACUGACGCUCAUGCACGAAAGCGUGGGGAGCAAACAGGAUUAGAUACCCUGGUAGUCCACGCCCUAAACGAUGUCAACUAGUUGUUGGGGGAUUCAUUUUCCUUAGUAACGUAGCUAACGCGUGAAGUUGGACCGCCUGGGGAGUACGGUCGCAAGAUUAAAAGCUCAAAAGGAA